UACGUAGGUGGCAAGCGUUGUCCGGAUUUACUGGGCGUAAAGGGAGCGUAGGCGGAUUUUUAAGUGAGAUGUGAAAUACCCGGGCUUAACUUGGGUGCUGCAUUUCAAACUGGAAGUCUAGAGUGCAGGAGAGGAGAAGGGAAUUCCUAGUGUAGCGGUGAAAUGCGUAGAUAUUAGGAAGAACACCAGUGGCGAAGGCGCUUCUCUGGACUGUAACUGACGCUGAGGCUCGAAAGCGUGGGGAGCAAACAGGAUUAGAUACCCUCGUAGUCCCU
rnacentral:rRNA from 1 species